CAAGAUGUAGCUUAAAUAAAGCUUUCAGCUUACACCUGAAAAUGUUCACCACCGAACCAUUCUGAC